rnacentral:rRNA from 1 species
AAUAGAUACCCUGGUAGUCCACGCCGUAAACGGUGGGCACUAGAUGUGGGGCUCUUUCCAUGAGUUCCGCGUCGCAGCUAACGCAUUAAGUGCCCCGCCUGGGGAGUACGGCCGCAAGGCUAAAACUCAAAGGAAUUGACGGGGGCCCGCACAAGCGGCGGAGCAUGCGGAUUAAUUCGAUGCAACGCGAAGAACCUUACCAAGGCUUGACAUAUACCGUUUAUCCCUAGAGAUAGGGAGUCCUUCGGGGCGGUAUACAGGUGGUGCAUGGUUGUCGUCAGCUCGUGUCGUGAGAUGUUGGGUUAAGUCCCGCAACGAGCGCAACCCUCGUUCUAUGUUGCCAGCGCGUAAUGGCGGGGACUCAUAGGAGACUGCCGGGGUCAACUCGGAGGAAGGUGGGGAUGGACGUCAAAUCAUCAUGCCCCUUAUGUCUUGGGCUUCACGCAUGCUACAAUGGCCGGUACAAAGGGCUGCAAUACCGCAAGGUGGAGCGAAUCCCAAAAGCCGGUCUCAGUUCGGAUUGAGGUCUGCAACUCG